rnacentral:rRNA from 1 species
UACGUAGGGUGCAAGCGUUGUCCGGAAUUAUUGGGCGUAAAGAGCUCGUAGGCGGUCUGUCACGUCGGCUGUGAAAUCCCGAGGCUCAACCUCGGGUCUGCAGUCGAUACGGGCAAACUAGAGUAUUGCAGGGGAGACUGGAAUUCCUGGUGUAGCGGUGAAAUGCGCAGAUAUCAGAAGGAACACCGGUGGCGAAGGCGGGUCUCUGGGCAAUAACUGACGCUGAGGAGCGAAAGCGUGGGGAGCGAACAGG